GUCUAUUUGAAGGUAUUAAUAGUCUGGCCUGCUCACUGACAUUAUAUAAUGUUAAAGAGCCGCGGUAUCCUGACCGUGCAAAGGUAGCAUAAUCAUUAGUUCUUUAAUUGAGAACUGGUAUGAAUGGUCGGACAAGAGAAACCCUGUCUCUGCUGUUAUAGUAGAAUUUAACUUUUAAGUGAAAAGGCUUAAAUUUUUCAAGGGGACGAUAAGACCCUAUAAAGCUUUAUAUAUUAAUUAGAAUUAAUUAAAUUGAAUAAAUAAAAAUUUAGUCUUAAAAGUAUAUUUAGUUGGGGCGACGAAAGUAUAAUUAAUAAUAACUGCUUAAACUUAAUACAAUAAUAAAUGAUUUUUUUUUUAAUUGAUCCUUUUUAAAGAUUAAAGACCAAGUUACUUUAGGGAUAACAGCGUAAUUUCUUUUGAGAGUCCCUAUCGAAGAAGAAGUUUGCGACCUCGAUGUUGAAUUAAAAUAUCUUUAUAGUGCAGCAGCUAUAAAAAGAAGGUCUGUUCGACCUUUAAUUUUUUACAUGAUUUGAGUUCAGACCGGCGAGAG
rnacentral:rRNA from 1 species